CAACCAUAGAUAUAUAUAAAGACUAGAUGUCUUCCGGCGGAGUCUAGAACGUCAUCACUGGCGGCCAUCUUGCCACAGGCAGGCUUUCUGGAAGGAUCUGUGGUACCUGAGGGAGGGUUCCUCUCUGUCCUGGGCUACAUCAUAAACAUUGACACGUUGCUGGCGAUGGUUCCUGUGCUGAUUGAAGGACAGCGAUAUGUCUUGACCUACAGAUUCAGCAAGGACCACUUGGAACUGCUCUUUAACUCCAUCAGAGCAUCCGGUGGCUGGAAUAACAACCCUAAUGCCAGCCAGUUCAAGUAGUUGUUAAACCAUGCCGAGGCAAUGUGACAGCGCAGGAUGAGACAGAGUCCCUACCAGCGGUCAUCGACACCUCUACAAGCCUAUCGGCUGUAGAUAUGUCCUUUGCAGCAGGAGGAGAAGAAGAUCUUCCAUCCCCGUUUGCUGACAUUCCUGCCUUAGUACAUGACCACAGCUACCUUCCCAUCCGCUUCGAUGGUCUUGUGGACAACGCUCUUGUGUACAUUUCCGGACUUGGUGUGCGACGGGCUCUGAAGAAGCUGUCCUGUGAUGUCUGCCGUGCCAGCCUGGUGACAGAGGCUGCA